rnacentral:rRNA from 1 species
CAUUAAGUGCAGGAAAAGAAACCAAAUGGGAUUCCCUUAGUAACUGCGAGUGAAACGGGAUGAGCUCAGCGCCGAAGCCGGCAGCCGAGAGGCUGUCGUGCAAUGUGGCGUUCGAUAGGAUUCAAUGUCCGUGUGCAUCAUCGGUUAAAGUCUCCUGGAAAGGUGUCCCAGAGAGGGUGAUAGGCCCGUACGGCCGACUGAUGUGUUCGCGGACAAGUCCUCUCUCGAGUCGGGUUGCUCGCUAAUGCAGCCCUAAGCAGGUGGUAAGCUCCACCUAAGGCUAAAUAUAACCACAAGUCCGAUAGUCAACAAGUACAGUGAUGGAAAGUUGAAAAGUACUCUGAAGAGAGAGUCAAAUAGCCCGUGAAGCUGCUCUUUAUGGGAUUAAGCGCACGUGUGACACGUGUCGUUCGACAAAUAGGCGACCGGCCAUUGGUUUGUUGGUCGGCUGGCGGCUAUACUGUGUGUAUGGCCACAGUCGGUCAGCGUGUACGCCAGUGGCUGAGCGCUUUCCUUUGUUGAACAUUGACAGGUCGUGCUGUCGUUGCAUUCGGUCCUAAUGCCGUGUGUUACUCGACAAGCCGAUGCCGGUCUGCGUUGGUGUCGCAAGGCACCAGUGUAGAUGUCGCGCUGAAUCGACGUGCUCCGGCACGACAGCGCCGGUGUUGGUUGUCGAUGUGAUUGCAUGCGCGCUAGAGACUAUGCGACGGGUGGCGCUAAUAGUGUGAACGCUUGUCGUUCGCCAACGGCCUUUGUGUUGUCACGUGCGGCCCGUCUUGAAACACGGACCAAGGAGUCUAACAUGUGAGCAAGCGAUUGAGAUUUUCACUAAUCUCAAACGCACAAUGAAAGUGAAGUGUCGUAUAUGGCGGCACAAGCGGAGAUCAAUGGCUAUUUAACGAUGGUUAUUGCGCAUCCGCGGGCCGCGCCAUCGGCUAGCUUGCUGGUUCAUUCUGGCACUGCCGAGGCGUGGACCUAGAGCUGACACGCUGAGACCCGAAAGAUGGUGAACUAUGCUUGGCGAGGAUGAAGCCAGGGGAAACCCUGGUGGAGGUCCGUCGCGAUUCUGACGUGCAAAUCGAUCGUUUUAGCUGAGUAUAGGGGCGAAAGACCAAUCGAACCAUCUAGUAGCUGGUUCCGCCUGAAGUUUCCCUCAGGAUAGCUGGCGCUCGUUUGAUACGGAGUUUCAUCCGGUAAAGCGAAUGAUCAGAGGAGCUGGGCUGAUCUGAAGCUCAACCUAUUCUCAAACUUUCAAUGGGUGAGACGUCUCGCUGGCUUCAAUGCAGCGACGACUCUGAAUCCGAGUGCCCAGUGGGCCACUUUUGGUAAGCAGAACUGGCGAUGCGGGAUGAACCGCAUAUCGAGUUAAGGUGCCUAAGCGAACGCUAAUCAGAUACCAUGAAAGGUGUUGAUUGCUCACGACAGCAGGACGGUGGCCAUGGAAGUCGGCAUCCGCUAAGGAGUGUGUAACAACUCACCUGCCGAAGCAAUCAGCCCUGAAAAUGGAUGGCGCUAUAGCGUUCCACCGAUACUCGACCGUUGUCGGCAUGCGACGUGCGCAAGUGCGUCUCAGGCCACAACGAGUAAGGCGGCGUGGCGGUGAGCGUUGAAGGCGUGGUCGUGAGACCAGCUGGAGCCGCCGUCAGUGCAGAUCUUGGUGGUAGUAGCAAAUACACAAGCAAGAUCCUUGUGGACCGAUGUGGAGAAGGGUUCCGCGCGAACAAUAUUUGGACGUGGGUGAGUCGGCCCUAAGCCAACGGGUAAUUCCCGCAUCCCGGUGUAUGGUUGCGUUGCAAUGCAUUGUGAACACACAUUGGGUUGGU